GAUGAACGCUGGCGGCGUGCCUAAUACAUGCAAGUCGAGCGAACGGACGAGAAGCUUGCUUCUCUGAUGUUAGCGGCGGACGGGUGAGUAACACGUGGAUAACCUACCUAUAAGACUGGGAUAACUUCGGGAAACCGGAGCUAAUACCGGAUAAUAUUUUGAACCGCAUGGUUCAAAAGCGAAAGACGGUCUUGCUGUCACUUAUAGAUGGAUCCGCGCUGCAUUAGCUAGUUGGUAAGGUAACGGCUUACCAAGGCAACGAUGCAUAGCCGACCUGAGAGGGUGAUCGGCCACACGGGAACUGAGACACGGUCCAGACUCCUACGGGAGGCAGCAGUAGGGAAUCUUCCGCAAUGGGCGAAAGCCUGACGGAGCAACGCCGCGUGAGUGAUGAAGGUCUUCGGAUCGUAAAACUCUGUUAUUAGGGAAGAACAUAUGUGUAAGUAACUGUGCACAUCUUGACGGUACCUAAUCAGAAAGCCACGGCUAACUACGUG
rnacentral:rRNA from 1 species